GACGAACGCUGGCGGCGUGCUUAACACAUGCAAGUCGAACGGAAAGGCCCUGCUUUUGUGGGGUGCUCGAGUGGCGAACGGGUGAGUAACACGUGAGUAACCUGCCCUUGACUUUGGGAUAACUUCAGGAAACUGGGGCUAAUACCGGAUAGGAGCUCCUGCUGCAUGGUGGGGGUUGGAAAGUUUCGGCGGUUGGGGAUGGACUCGCGGCUUAUCAGCUUGUUGGUGGGGUAGUGGCUUACCAAGGCUUUGACGGGUAGCCGGCCUGAGAGGGUGACCGGCCACAUUGGGACUGAGAUACGGCCCAGACUCCUACGGGAGGCAGCAGUGGGGAAUAUUGCAUAAUGGGCGGAAGCCUGAUGCAGCAACGCCGCAUGCGGGAUGACGGCCUUCGGGUUGUAAACCGCUUUCGCCUGUGACGAAGCGUGAGUGACGGUAAUGGGUAAAGAAGCACCGGCUAACUACGUG
rnacentral:rRNA from 1 species